GCCUGAACUCAAGUAGGGCCCAAGCCAGCCAGGAAGGAGGAGGCAGCCAGAGUGUUCUCUACAGCAGAAGACCCCUUGCUGCCAGAUACCGACAGACAUAUCAACACAUUAAAAUGACUUAUUCCUGCCUGAAAAUUUAACAGAACGGAUGUAUAACUCAGUUAAAUCAAGAAAUCUAGAAUUAAAAUGACUUGGCAGCAAGAUAGCCAUAUUUGCAGAUGAUACCAAACUCUUCCGGGUAGUGAAAUCCAAAAUGGAUUCUUUGGAACUCCAAAAGGAUCUCUCCAAACUGGUCACAGAGAACAGCAAGCGAAUGGGACACCAUGCAUGCACCACUGCGCCAGCAUGCAAAGAGUCUGGCUCGGUUGCUGGCUGGCUGCCCUGCCUCGAGCCAAGAGGUGAAGGUGGAGAGAGCCGGCUGGGUGACCUGUGGGGGAGGAAGACAGAGGACUGUGUGUGUGGUUAACCGAACCAGUUCCCCACUGUUAUUGCCUUGCUGAAAAUCCAUUUCACGGAAUACCCCACCCCCAAACGGGAAAAAAAGAAAAGGAAAAAAAAGGAAUACAAACACUGAAAGGUUUUAAAUUACAAGAAGGAGAAUGGGCUGGAAAGGCUCUCUGAAUCUGCAUCACAGCGUCUACCCAUGCCUCACUAAACAAGUCAUGGAGCGUUGCCCCACCCGCAGUAACAGAAGCACAGAGGACUGAAGAACUAUCACCAAAAAAUUGUGGGCCCCCACCACCGCCUACAUAAUGGACUUACAGUAUGCUGUUGCAUCGGAGCGGCAUUAAUUUGAAUGCUGGCCCUUAUGAUAAAACACCUAACAAGUUGCAUUUGUUGACUAAUGCAGGUAGACAUAUUACAGUGCAGAAUUGGAAGCGUGGGAACUAUUUAAGCUGUAUCUCAGCCUCCAAGGGAAAAGCAAAACCAUCAAAAUUACAUUUUUCAAUUCAGCUCAUUACAAAAAUAAGAUCAGAUUUGACAUGACAUUUUUUCCAUAAUAUCAUGAUGAGACUGGCAUUAAUUACAUUCCUGUCUCUUAAAGCUUUAUUGAUUAAGUCUUAAGUCUGUUUUCCUGUUAUUUUUGGCUGAUAUCUGUGUCUGGUUAAUCAGCCUGCAGAUAGAUGUUUCAUCGUCUUAUCCCUUCCCUAAAUACUAUCAAAACACAAGUUUCGUCCUCAAAAAUUUAAAGAUGUAUCUACUAGGAAAAUCAACCACUUUGUCCAAGUCUUGGAGAUAUUGAUUGUUGGCUUUAAAAUGUUUAUUUAUUUUGGCACAGACCAUAAGAUAGGUAAGGUGUUAUACUGGAUCUCUGCGGGCUGCCAGAAAUAUGGGCUAGAGAUACAGCAGAUGCAACAUUUAGGAUACUGCACAAAUAUGAAGAAAAGCAAAGGAUUCCCAUGUUUUUGUUAAGAAAUUGUGUUCUACAACCUGAACCAUUCCCACAAGGUGUUUGUACUGUCCUCAUCAUACCUUCUUUGGAAUAUAUCAGUGUUGCCAAAAGUAACAGGAGAAAACAAAUGUGGAGUAUUUGUAGAACUGAUGGCCAAACUACAUGCAGAUUCAUAAAAUGGUAGCUUUCUGACCCUUGUGCACUUGAAGAGCCAAUUGGGAAGGUGACCAGGGAAUAGAAAAACAACAGGGGGGGCGGGGCGGGCACUGCUUAACUUUUUCACUGCUUCUUCUUGUUCCCCAUUCCAAAUCGUUCCUUGAAGUGUUUCCUACAGAGGAUGUCCAACACCUGUUUGCCAUUGCCCUCUCCCAAUGCGGUUUCUCAAGCAGAAAAUGGGCCAUUGGACUACUAUUACACAUAUUUAUGUAUGUGUAAUUUGGCCCCUAGUGAUGGAAGCAAUAUAGAUGACAAAAAUCCUAAGCGAUGACCACUGAAAGCUCUAUGGUACUUAACCUUGCCUUCUAAAGAUGCACCUGGUCUUGCCAUACCACGAGCUAAGGAAAGUAACAGGGCUACAUAAAAUGCUGUAGAAUCACUUCUUCAUACAUUGACCCUACAAAUUGCUACAUGUGCAAGCCAACGUAUUCUGCCUACAAGAAAGAAGAACAUGUUUGUUUACUCUCACCCUCUAAACUUAGGCCCAGAAGCCUAACAGUACUCAGCACUCCAGCCCAGGGCAAACUGAAGCAAAGAUGGAAUGGAAACUUGAGUUGGAAUUUCACAUUCAUGUAUAUGGAAGAGGAGAGGGCAGAGGGAACUGAAGCCCAAGCCAGAAACAAAUUGCAGAAUAUGUGAAGUCUUUCUACAGUCUCUUAUAUUAUGCUGGCUUUACAAAUGAGGCUUCAUGCACCCAUACUUUGCCUUGGUCUUUCAGCUCAACAUUGGGCUGUGGUAAGUCCCGACAGAAUUAAACUGGUGUAGCCUUCCCAACAAUUUCCUAGAGACCCCCAAUGAAAUUCUGUCAGAUACAUCUCUCCAGGGCACUGAGAUGUCUGAUACAUCUCUCCAAGGCACUGUACAAAGUCUUUACUGUUUAUGUGGUGUGAACAUUAAGACUGGCACUUUGACUUGCAAUUCCCACAUUUUUAGAGCACGAGUGAAAUUUCAAAGUGUCAUAACUCUCAUCUUAAACCAAAGAGUUCUGGAUUACAGAAUAUUGUAUCCAGUGGGUUAGUUUCUGUGUUUAGAAGCUAAAAUUCUUUUCUCUCAGAUAUGUUAACAAAUUCAAGGACAUUACUAACAUCUUACUAAGUUCUGGAUAUGUAACUGUAGCUACAAGAAGAACAGAAGCAGGUGGUGGUAAUGGGUUUGAGCAAAGCCUUAGCUUCAAGGUAUCCAUUCAUACUCUACAAAGAGAGAGAGAGAGAGCAAGAGGGAUUGAAAUUCUUUCCUCAGAAUUACAGGGUCCUCCCAUAUAACCAGAUCUCCUUCAAAAGAGCACUAAUGGGUUCAACUGAGUCUUUGAUGUUUGUGCUAGUUGCGUGUUUAUUAUAGCAAUACAGAAGAAUCAAGGCGUGCUUAAGCCUUCCUCCCAAUUCCUUUGUAGACAUGAGUUCAAAAACUCAUGUGUAAAGACUGCAAGUGGAACAAGUCUGCACACUCUCUGAGGCAAGAUCCUUAUCAGGUGUCAGGGAGAGACUAUCUUUGUCUGCAAAUAAACUCUUA